CCGGCUGGGGAAGAACUUGGCCUGCUGAGGCCGCGGGGCGGGGGCGCUUUCGGCGAAGAGAGCGAUGGUCGCCGCUUCUCUUGAGGUUGACAGCAGUCACCGUGGAGUGACGCUGGCCCUCUCGGCGGCUGCCAGACCCUGAGUGCGGGGCGGAGCCGUGCGGGAUCCUGGAACUGUAGUGACAGCUUCUUCUUAAGACCAAGGGCGUCGAGGGGCUUCGUAAAUCUUCCAGCUCAGAGCUGCUCAUCGGGAGGGAGGCAGCCGUCUUCUCUCCCAGAUACACCGUGGUUCUCCAUCUAGAAAGUAAGGGCGCGCUGGGUCUUGGAGAGUACAGACAGCUAGCAGACCUGAACACGGGACGUCAGGAUCUGGCUCCCAGCCCCUGCCCUCUGAAGGUGCACUGGUGAGCAAGAACGCCCCUCCCUGCCCAGAGCCUCCAGAAUGCUGCACUGUUUCUGCCAGCCUUACCCUCAUCUUGCCUCCUGGCCACCCACCAGCCUGGAACCACAGAGUGCUGGCUGGGCUCCCGACCCCCCAGAGAGCUGAGUGAGGUGACGGAUGACAGGCUCCCCUGGCUGUGUGACAAGAGUGCGCACUCCCAGGCAGUCCACUGCAGGGGACUCCUGGGAGGGAAAGAGUCACGGAUUGCUGCGUUCUGGCUAGCUCCCCAGGGGCACUAAUCCAGAGAUGGAAGCGGGCACAAGGAGACCCUGAGUGGCUCUGGGGAUAGCCGAGGGGUCUUGUAGGAUGCAGAGCAUGAAUCUAAAACGUGUCUGUCCCGAGUAGGAUGAGGCAAGUCUGUCUGCAUUCAGUCCUCACAAGCAGCCAGGGGGCAGGGGCCUGGGGACCAGCUCCAACACCACUGCCAGUGCCUUUCUGGUGCACUUGGCCGUACCACUGUUACUUUGCAUGUCUCACCUGGUGAGUAGGUCUUUUUGGGGUGACUUCAGCCUCUGGGGAAGCUCCUUCUUAGAAAAUUUUCUGCCCAUUUACAGUGACGGCAGUAAGACGGGUCACCUCAGCAGCCACCUCUACAAGGUGGGACUCCUGCCUUCCUGUCACUGCUAACGAGAUGAGAGACACACAGCCGAACCAAUCAGCUCCUCUCCUGGGACCCAAGACUGGAAUUGGAACCACCAUCCUGUCACGUCUGGUUGUGAGAAGUGAGAUGGAGUAGAACAGUCAUCUUCCACCCUGUGUGUGGAGACAGGGCUCCCCCUGAAGUGUCAUGCUGGCUUAUAGGUGUGGAUAUUAAGAGGAUAUUAAGGCCUGGUUAGAAUGCCUUCAGGAGAGAGGAACCAGAUAACAAGGACAAGAACCCUUCUUUCUGGAACCCUUUACCCUGCAGUGCCUGGGAGAUCAGGACCUGUGCCUUCAUUCAUGUGAUUACUGACUGCCCACUGGGAGCCUGGCUGCCGAAGACCCAGUACAGGCCAGGCCACUGAGGGUCCCCUGUGCACCAGACUGAGAACAAGACAGGUGAGACCCCACUCUCAAGGAGCUCACAUUCUAGUGGAGAGAGACAGAAACCAGUUUUAUUGGAACUUCAGAAAAAGAAUAUAAAACCUAGUCAUGAGCUGGAGUGACGGGGGGGCACUUUAGAUUUGAGGGUUCAGGGAGGCCUCUUGGAGAGGAUCACACUGAAGGGCAAGAAGAAGGGACUGUGGGGGCGUCUGAUAGCAGCGUGUGGAACCCACACAGCCAUCACAACCACCACCGUCAUUUUAAGCACAUUCCAAAGAAUGACUGGAGUUGAAGUACGUUCUGAGUUUGAGUUACAGACCUGUCUGCCCGUCUGGAACUUCCUUAGAAUCCAUCCCACAAAAUAGUAGCCGGGCUCUGUGAGGUGCGCCGUAUGCAGGCCUGCUUCCCCAUAGCUGGGAUGCCUUCUCCGUCUCACCCUCAGAGCGAACCUCCAAGCCGUAGCCCAUCUGUGGAUGAAGAAGCCAGGACUUGUAAGGCAUAAAGCCGACGCACCGGGGAGCCGGCUCUGGUUGCCCACCUCUGUGUCUCAUUCGGUCACUCUUCCUCCCCCAGGAGACAGGAAGGAGCUGCAGAGGUGUGGUGGGAUUCAGGCCUUACAGGUCCCCUGCGCCUGCAGAGAACCUGCCGCCUGCAGUCGAAGGGGAGAUUUUCAUGGUCUUGGCAUACAGUGCCAUGUCCCCAGCCAGACCUGGAGGCAGCUUGACGUUCAAGGAAGACAUCUGGGUCUCAGCCAUAAUCGGCCUGCACCAGGUUCAUUGUCCAUCAGGCAUGAUGGGACAAAUGGGAGGGUGGAGAAGCCACUGCUGCGCACAGGCUGAGUGGCCUGGGAGGUGGACUCUACUCCCUAAGCCUCACAUCCCUCAUCCUUAUCAAGGGGACUCACGGAGAGUGCUCUCAGCAGAGCCCUGGGAAAGCAAAUGUAGCCCCAAGCUCCGGAGCAACCGUGGCCCACCGCGGCCCCAUCAACGGCACACCUGCUUGCAGAGAAUGGUGGGGUGGGGUGGGGCACACUCUGUCUCGAUCCACGUGUGAGUGUCCAGCAGCCCCAACAGAAACGUGGCGGGGGCCACAGGCCUAAUUUUACGCUUUCUCAUGGCUACCUUAAGAAAGUAACAAGAAUCAGGUGACAGUCGUUUUCAAGUAUAUCCUUAUUUUACCCGUCAUGUCCCAAAUGUUAUCAUUUGAACAAGUAACCGAUGAACUU